rnacentral:rRNA from 1 species
ACCCGCUGAACUUAAGCAUAUCAAUAAGCGGAGGAAAAGAAACCAACAGGGAUUGCCCUAGUAACGGCGAGUGAAGCGGCAACAGCUCAAAUUUGAAACCUGGCGCAAGCCCGGAUUGUAAUUUGUAGAGGAUGCUUCUGGGCAGCGGCCGUUCUAAGUUCCUUGGAACAGGACGUCAUAGAGGGUGAGAAUCCCGUAUGUGACCGGCGCGCACCCUUCACGUAGCUCCUUCGACGAGUCGAGUUGUUUGGGAAUGCAGCUCUAAAUGGGAGGUAAAUUUCUUCUAAAGCUAAAUAUUGGCCAGAGACCGAUAGCGCACAAGUAGAGUGAUCGAAAGAUGAAAAGCACUUUGGAAAGAGAGUUAAAAAGCACGUGAAAUUGUUGAAAGGGAAGCGCUUCCAACCAGACUCCGCGGCGGUGUUCCGCCGGUCUUCUGACCGGUCUACUCGCCGCCGUGGGGCCAACAUCGUCUGGGGCCGCUGGAUAAGACCGGAGGAAUGUAGCUCAUUGAGUGUUAUAGCCUCCGGUGAUGCGGCGCGUCCCGGGCGAGGUCCGCGCUUCGGCAAGGAUGUUGGCGUAAUGGUUGGCAGCGGCCCGUCUUGAAACACGGACCAAGGAGUCUAACAUCUAUGCGAGUGUUCGGGUGUCAAACCCCUACGCGUAAUGAAAGUGAACGGAGGUGGGAACCGCAAGGUGCACCAUCGACCGAUCCUGAUGUCCUCGGAUGGAUUUGAGUAAGAGCAUAGCUGUUGGGACCCGAAAGAUGGUGAACUAUGCCUGAAUAGGGUGAAGCCAGAGGAAACUCUGGUGGAGGCUCGCAGCGGUUCUGACGUGCAAAUCGAUCGUCAAAUUUGGGUAUAGGGGCGAAAGACUAAUCGAACCAUCUAGUAGCUGGUUCCUGCCGAAGUUUCCCUCAGGA